AAGUCGUAACAAGGUUUCCGUAGGUGAACCUGCGGAAGGAUCAUUACCGAGUGCGGGCCCUCUGGGUCCAACCUCCCAUCCGUGUCUAUCUGUACCCUGUUGCUUCGGCGUGGCCACGGCCCGCCGAAGACUAACAUUUGAACACUGUCUGAAGUUUGCAGUCUGAGUUUUUGAGUUAAACAAUAAUUAAAAC
rnacentral:misc_RNA from 1 species